rnacentral:lncRNA from 1 species
UUGGGAUGAAUCUUUCUUCCCUAAUUUUCUAUUGUAAAAUCAGCAAGAGAGGCUCUCUUUGAUGCUUUGAAAUUAGUCAUAAAAACCCUUUGAAACCCCUUCCAAAGAGACAUGAGAUGAGGGCUUAGGCGUGUGGAGCUUUGGGGCAUCCAACUCUUGGACGUCCCCUCCCUUUUUUUUCUUUGGCGACAACAAGAGGGGAGAGGUGCACCCCUUUCUUUCACGAAAGAGAGGAGAGGGGUGCCUUCUUGAUUGGGGCAUGGGAUCUCCUUGUGAAAGGAGAAGAGGCAUGGAGAAUAUUA